rnacentral:sRNA from 1 species
CCCUAGCCCCGAUUGCCGCGGCAUCCUUUUUGGGUAAGGGAAAAGCAAUGGAAAAAAAGAUAUAGCAGAAAGCGGGAUUAAGC